GGGCAAUUAGCUCAGUUGGUUAGAGUAUCUCGUUUACACCGAGAGGGUCGUAGGUUCGAUCCCUACAUUGCCCACAA
rnacentral:tRNA from 1 species